GGAGUCUGGACCGUAUCUCAGUUCCAAUGUGGCCGAUCACCCUCUCAGGUCGGCUACCCAUCGUCGACUUGGUGAGCCGUUACCUCACCAACUAUCUAAUGGGACGCGAGUCCACCUUCUGCCGGAUUUCUCCUUUGACCUCAUCGGGAUGCCCCGACGUGGUCUUAUGCGGUAUUAGCAAUCCUUUCGGACCGUUAUCCCCCUGCAAAAGACAGGUUCCUCACGCGUUACUCACCCGUCCGCCACUCGGUUAUAUCUCUUCCAGCCGAAGCCUUCCGUGACAUAACCUCGUUCGACUUGCAUGUGUUAAGCACGCCGCCAGCGUUCGUCCUCGAGCCACUGAUCAAACUCU
rnacentral:rRNA from 1 species